GGCGAGAUGGCCGAGCGGUCUAAGGCGCUAGAAUCAGGUCCCACCACACGGUAGGCAAUCUAGUCCGAAAGGGCGUGGGUUCGAAUCCCACUCUCGUCA
rfam:Moniliophthora roreri strain MCA 2952 kmer90.94854, whole genome shotgun sequence.